UUGGAUCCAGACUUUGAUUCUGGCUCAGGAUGAACGCUAGCUACAGGCUUAACACAUGCAAGUCGAGGGGAAACGACAUCGAAAGCUUGCUUUUGAUGGGCGUCGACCGGCGCACGGGUGAGUAACGCGUAUCCAACCUGCCCAUCACUUGGGGAUAACCUUGCGAAAGUAAGACUAAUACCCAAUGACGUCUCUAGAAGACAUCUGAAAGAGAUUAAAGAUUUAUCGGUGAUGGAUGGGGAUGCGUCUGAUUAGCUUGUUGGCGGGGUAACGGCCCACCAAGGCUACGAUCAGUAGGGGUUCUGAGAGGAAGGUCCCCCACAUUGGAACUGAGACACGGUCCAAACUCCUACGGGAGGCAGCAGUGAGGAAUAUUGGUCAAUGGACGAGAGUCUGAACCAGCCAAGUAGCGUGCAGGAUGACGGCCCUAUGGGUUGUAAACUGCUUUUAUAAGGGAAUAAAGUGAGUCUCGUGAGACUUUUUGCAUGUACCUUAUGAAUAAGGACCGGCUAAUUCCGUGCCAGCAGCCGCGGUAAUACGGAAGGUCCGGGCGUUAUCCGGAUUUAUUGGGUUUAAAGGGAGCGUAGGCCGGAGAUUAAGCGUGUUGUGAAAUGUAGAUGCUCAACAUCUGCACUGCAGCGCGAACUGGUUUCCUUGAGUACGCACAAAGUGGGCGGAAUUCGUGGUGUAGCGGUGAAAUGCUUAGAUAUCACGAAGAACUCCGAUUGCGAAGGCAGCUCACUGGAGCGCAACUGACGCUGAAGCUCGAAAGUGCGGGUAUCGAACAGGAUUAGAUACCCUGGUAGUCCGCACGGUAAACGAUGGAUGCCCGCUGUUGGUCUGAAUAGGUCAGCGGCCAAGCGAAAGCAUUAAGCAUCCCACCUGGGGAGUACGCCGGCAACGGUGCAACUCAAAGGAAUUGACGGA
rnacentral:rRNA from 2 species